rnacentral:rRNA from 1 species
UACGAAGGGGGCUAGCGUUGUUCGGAAUUACUGGGCGUAAAGCGCGUGUAGGCGGGUCUUUAAGUCAGGGGUGAAAUGCCAAGGCUCAACCUUGGAACUGCCUUUGAUACUGGAGACCUUGAGUCCGGGAGAGGUGAGUGGAAUUGCGAGUGUAGAGGUGAAAUUCGUAGAUAUUCGCAAGAACACCAGUGGCGAAGGCGGCUCACUGGCCCGGAACUGACGCUGAGAUGCGAAAGCGUGGGAAGCAAACAGG